GACGAACGCUGGCGGCGUGCUUAACACAUGCAAGUCGAACGGGCCUUGUCCCCUUUUUUUUUGGGGGUGGGGUUAGUGGCGAACGGGUGAGUAACACGUGAGUAACCUGCCCCUCACUUCUGGAUAACCGCUUGAAAGGGUGGCUAAUACGGGGUGUUCUGGCCUGCUCGCAUGGGUGGGUUUGGAAAGAUUCGACCGGUUUUGGUUGUUUUGGUGGGGGAUGGGCUCGCGGCCUAUCCGCUUGUUGGUGGGGUGAUGGCCUGCCAAGGCUUUGACGGGUAGCCGGCCUGAGAGGGUGGGCGGUCACACUGGGACUGAGACACGGCCCAGACUCCUACGGGAGGCAGCAGUGGGGAAUAUUGCACAAUGGGCGCAAGCCUGAUGCAGCGACGCCGCGUGAGGGAUGGAGGCCUUCGGGUUGUGAACCUCUUUCGCCAGGGAAGAAGGUCCUGCUCUUUGUGGUGGGGUUGACGGUAGCUGGGUUAAUGAAGCGCCGGCUAACUACGUG
rnacentral:rRNA from 1 species